rnacentral:snoRNA from 1 species
AAGACUAUACUUUCAGGGAUCAUUUUUAUAGUUUGUUACCAGAGAAGGUUAUCUGAAAAUGUAGGGCACUGAAAACCAUGAGGAAGAUGCACAACAUUCUCUCCUAAGCAUGAAACUGGCUCUAGGUGUUGCUUUCUUGCAACUGCCUACUGCCAUUUAUGAUCAUUUUUAUCUCCCAUCUUGGGGGAGUAAGAGAGAAAGGACAGGGUAGUGGA